GAGAGGAGGGAGGGAUGCCAACACAUGGCUAACACCAGUCUGCGAUAUAGUCAAAGUCUGCAAACAGGUCCUGCUGGUGCGGGGUCAAGGGCCGGGGUUCUCUGGGUGGUGUGAGCACCGGAGCCUCUGAGGUCAGACUGAACAAUGAUGCUAUUCCUGUCGUUUCGGUAGUCAAAUGAGGUCAAAGUGCCCUGCAGAAGAAGAAAAAAAGCCUUUCAGCUGCCGCUGUUUAUACAAGAUGAUAUUAUCACUGCAUAACGGUUAUCUUUAUGCUAAUAAAGGAAACAGAAGACAUCAAUGCAGAUGCCUGGGCAGCAUAUCUCUACGUUGUAGCGUGCGAUGUUACCCGUUUUUGCUCUUUGUUGGGGAUCUUGUCCUCGGGCAGG